CACGUAGUUAGCCGAUCCUUAUUCAUGAUCUACUGUCAAAUUCCUCAAUCAUAAAAGCAGUUUACAACCCGAAGGCCUUCAUCCUGCACGCGGCGUUGCUCCAUCAGGCUUUCGCCCAUUGUGGAAGAUUCCUCACUGCUGCCUCCCGUAGGAGUCUGGACCGUGUCUCAGUUCCAGUCUGGCUGGUCAUCCUCUCAGACCAGCUACGGAUCGUCGGCUUGGUGAGCCAUUACCUCACCAACUACCUAAUCCGACGCGGGCUUCUCCCAAAGCGGAUAAAUCCUUUAAUCCGAAGAUCAUAUGCGGCAUUAGCCACCCUUUCGGGCAGUUAUUCCUCACUUUGGGGCAAAUUCCCACGCGUUACUCAGCCGUUCGCCGCUCGCCGCCAAGUAGUAAACUACUCGCGCUGCCGCUCGACUUGCAUGUGUUAGGCACGCCGCCAGCGUUCAUCCUGAGCCAGGAUCAAACUCU
rnacentral:rRNA from 1 species